rnacentral:lncRNA from 1 species
GGUCAACCAUGCAAGCUUUUUAGCUUUAGUAGUUGAUCUCCCGGAUCAUAUGUGUUGUAAGGGAAUUAUAAGAAAAUUGCUUUAGCAUACAUUUAUAUAACAAAUAAAGUUCAAACUUUGAGGUUCUUACCAAUCUACUACCUGUCCAAGAGGGUUGGGAAGAGACUUAUGCGAUGAACAAAACCAUACAACAGUGUUAUCUGGUACGGAGAUCACAAGUAG